rnacentral:lncRNA from 1 species
GUGAACCCUGAAAUGUAGUCUCCUCUUAAAGUUAUCAGCAGGAAUCAGGGUAGGAUUCCUUCUGGGAUUCUCCAUUCUCCAUUCUCCAGGGCUUAUUCUUGAGCUAACUGUAAUUUUGCAUCUUGAGCAUGAUGACGUUGUGUGUGUUGCUAAGCAAGAAGAAAUCCAAAGCACCAUCGUUUUCCAGGUGAUCAAACAUGACACACCACAGCAUGCAAGUGCCUUGGACUUCCCACUAACUCCCAAAUAGCUCCCAGUACUUUUUACCUUCUUCCUGGUUAUAUCCAACUCCCCAAGAAGAGAAUUGGGCACUUGACUCUAUGAGGUGGCCUGUAAACUCUGAAAUCUUUGCUCUCCACAAUCACUCAAAAGCAGAUUGAUGAAGACUCUGCCAUCUUCAAGGCAGAUGGUUGAAGAUGGUUCCCAAGGUCACCAUGGCCCGUGAUGUGAAGCCAGAAAAGGAGCAGAGUACAGAUGCCUGGAUCUCCCACUCACCAAAAUCUUCUUCAAUCAGACUCUCUUUCUUGGAUUUCAUGGGUGGAAAGACCCUGGCCAGCUCCCUGGGGUGGUUCAUCACACCCAAGUCUUUCCUGAUGAACUUGCCUCAAGUCUUUGAAGACACAUUUAACACAUCACAUCACCCUUGUUAUACUGUGCUAAUGCUUGACUGCUGAGAAAUCUUGAUGCUGGAUGAUCUCACAUUCUACUUUCUUCAAGAAUCUUCACAAACUUAAACAAUUGGGAAUGGGUGUGUGUGUGUGUGUGUGUGUGUGUGUGUGUGUGUGUGUGUGUCUAUGUAUGUCCUUUCUUCCUCUGGCAAUCAUGAGCCUAUUUCCCAGAGCCCAUUGAAGUACCUACUACAUUCCCAUAGUAACUAUAUUUCCAGAAUGUUCCUGGUCCAAAUCAGAUUUGAGAUUGCCUCUGGUUCAUCCCUACACGGCUCCUGCCUUUGGUAGAGGUGCUCUGGGCAAUAUGAUGCUCAACAAAUAUUAUCUCCCUAUGCCUAAAGCCCAAAAUCACCACUGCCAUUCUAAGUUGUCAAUAUAACAUGUAAGAAACAUUCAUUAAAUGUUGUAAGUUGAAAGUGUUUAUUUACCUCCACUGUGUGCCAAAUGCCACAAAAUUUAUAGUAUGGAGAAAAAAUACAUAAAUCCUUG